rnacentral:tmRNA from 1 species
GGGGCUGUUUAGGUUUCGAUAUUUAUAAAAAUAUAAAUGUGCAAGUAGAGGAAAUUUAAUGAACCUCUUAAAAAAAGCAUAAAAAAAAAUAAAUGCAAACAAAAUUUUAUCUUUUAACCGAAUGGCAGUAGCAGUAUAAGCUAACUAUUAUUCCUUAUUAUCAUUAAGAAGCUAAAGGGUGUGAUAAUAAAGUAAAAAACUUUAGUUGCGCAUGCGAUAAAUGAGGGACUUGAUAAGUAUGCAAAGAGAACUCUCAACUUUUUAAAAAAGCUUGCCUAAAAGUUUAGGCUAAACUUGUGAAGGAUCAUUUAUAUUUUUUUGGAUAGACGUGGGUUCGAAUCCCACCAGCUCCA